UGGGCUAAAUUGUGCAAAUAUGUGAAAUUAGAAAGGGGAGAAAUUAGGGAAGACUCCAUUGUAACUACUGGGAUUGGUCAACUGGUGAAACCUGACUUCUCCUCCCAUAAGGACACCUAUUAGAAAUACUGGAAGAGCAAGAAGAAAAUCUGUAUUACAUACAAUACAGGGAUAGAUUAAGAGAAGGAACACUAAUAUGGAGAGCAGUAAUUAUCCUUCAAAGCUCUUAUCAUAAAUGGAACUUUCUGAUGGUGCACCUCCUGGUGUAAUGGAAGACCAUGGAUUGCAACAACAAAAAACAGCUGCAUGUUUUUAACCAGAAUGGAAGUGGCAGAGCGGAACAGGAACACAGGAGUCGGCUCUGCGGACAAAGGGAGAACUGGCAUGGAUAUAACAGAUCAAAUAACUUCAAGAGAAAACUGGAAGGGAGGCUGUUAAUAUUGUUUCCAUUAACAUACCCAUAAACAAAUAACUUGGCGAAAGUAUGUCUUUGCCAGCAUGGACUGAAAAAAAGGACUGGAAUGAAUCCUGCAGCAAGAGCAGGGAAAACUAGUCUUGCUAUUCUUCAUAUCCCCCAACUGGGAAAAAAAAAAAGAAAAAAAAAACAUGUUUUCCUCUUUUAAAAUAUUCUGAGUGUCUCAUUCCUGCGUCCUCUGUACACGAGAAAAAGAUGUUAGCUGCAAGUGUCAGAAACAUUUUUUUUUCUUGAUACAUCUUUUUAUGGAAAUAAAUUCAAACAUCAAACAAUGAUUGGUUUACUGAAUAGAAGCUAUGUUUAUUAAAUCACAGAAAAAACAUUUAUUGGUUUAUGGCAGCAAUCAUUGCUUGCCAUCACUCUAAUAUUUUCACUCAUUUAGUAGCAUUAAAUACUUCUUUAAUAUGUUUGCAUAUCAAAGGUGAACUUCAGUGAUAAUAAAAGGGCAAGAGUGAACAGGAUUACUACAAAGUUUUCUGAGCUAGUCUUCUAGUUCAAGUAGCUUUCAUUCAGCAUUCCUGAAAGUGCAGGUCUUGUCAAAGUAGGUCUGUGAACUACUUUAAAUCAAGCAUGCUGUGCUGCAUUCAGAAUCUUGGUGGAUUAACACAUUAUAAAGCAAUUUGCGGAAAAUGCAUGAUUAGCAGCAAAGCUAGUUUUAAUGAAAUGGUUGAAAAAUUAAUGUUUGCUAAAAAUGUAAUGGUUCAAUUCAGUUCAUAAUAUUUCGCAAAGCUGCUUUUUCAUGUUAAAACUGAUUUUCCAUUCCAACACUUUCCUUCUACUUUGUAAAAUCUGGUUGUUUUGAAGUACAGACUGAGCUCUGCAUUUGCCUGUUCAUAGAUCAGAUCCCAAGGAAAGCUGGAAUAGACGGAGAAAAACUCAAGACAUUUAUAAAACUGUUCUUAUCAUUGCAAGUCCUUGUUAGUCGGCCAUAGGUGCUUGUAGGUGUCUGCACCAUUGGAAGAUACUAGUAAAAACUCUUCAGUCUGUUUGAAAAAUCACAGAGAGUAUGAUACAGUCCAUGGUCUAAAGCAUACACAAUCAAGUUAUGAGAGACAGGGAGUUAAGAAAAACAAGAAUGACUAUUCAAACAGAUGGACAGUAUGAAAGCCUUAAGAAACACCUUAUUUCCAGAAGUUUUUGCUGUUGUCUUUGUCAGUUUCCCUUAUUAGGUUGAAUUUGAUCUUGUUUAAUAUCAUUAAGUUAAAUCUUCUUGGAGAGAUUGUUUCAGGAUAUCAAUGGAAAGGCAAAGGACAGUAGGGCUAAUUGGAAUCAGUGUAGCACAGCAGACUUCAGAGAGAGGCGAAAUAUUUUUGAAUGAGAACUUCAGAAAGCCAUCUGAGAGUGUCUUUGGUGUAAUUCUGUCUGAAGCUUCACUCUGUAGCUACCGCAUUGAUUUCUGUCUUUUGGUACAGAAUAAUUCCGAGAUAACAGAAAUAAAGAAAUUACAUGUAUAGC